AAAGCUCAUUCACUGUGAUGAAUGAAAAAGCCAUCUGGGGUUUUUCUUUUUGACUUCCUUUCCUUUUCUCCAUCCUUGUAAUCAAAUUUGAGCAAAAUCAAAUGGGGCUUUCUAUGAAAGUACCUUUUGUUGAUCUGAACGAGCUGGUAAUUUACAAAAUACCCUUCUUUUGUGAAGCGGGCUAAAGAAAAAAAAGAAUCAGUAGCUUUUAAAGCUGGGCCUUGGUGGGACUCUAAAUACCAUGAAAGCAGCCUGUGUUGAGAGAUUGAAAUGCAUUUCAAAGCCAGGCCUGAGUCAGGGUACAAGGAAGAACAGACCUAUGUGCAUUUUGUAGGAAGAAAAAAUGUCAAUGGAAAAAAGGGAGAAGGGGAGACAGCAAAACAGGGGGAAAAAUCUGGAUAAAGCAUGAAAGUUAUCAUUCUUUCGGAGGUGCGCUCGUCUUUGGUGACACAGUAUUUCCUUUGGGCAAUACUUCUUUCCCCCAUUGACUCCACAGAGGAAGACCGGCAUAAACAGACAUCUGGCAAAGAGAAAAUGAUUUUAGAGUUCCAUUUUGAGGAGGCAGCACACAGUAUUGGAAGGGGUGCUGGCUUUGGAGCAGAGGUCAGAGGUUUUGUGUCUCAUCUCUGUUAUUUGCCACCUGUGUAGUCCCAGGUAAGUCACUCUUCCUUUUUGGAAAUUGCUUUCCCCAUGUAUAAACAGAGAUGUUCAGGGUCCUUUAUGACUUAAAAAUGACCUCAGAUCACCUGUUUCCUGCCCUAGUCUUCUUUUUACUUUCUCAUACCCAACACUCUUGUGCUGAGGUAUAAACAAUUCUAGACCUGGGCUCUUCCUUUUUUUAGAGGGAGAAGUAAAAUUGGCUGAAACAGCAGACUCUCAAAGUCUUGAUUGACAAUGAUCCCAAGAAUCUUGCUCCCCUUUCAAUAGAAGAAUAUGGAGGGGGCAGCUGGGUGGCCCAGUGGAUUGAGAGCCAGUCCUAGAGACGGGAGGUUCUAGGUUCAAAUCUGACCUCAGACACUUCCCAGCUGUGUGACCCUGGGCAAGUCCCUUAACCCCCAUUGCCUAGACCUUACUGCUCUUCUUCCUUGGAGCCAAUACUGAAACAAUAAGAGGUGAAGAUAAUAAGAGGUAAGGGUUAAAAAAAAAGAAAGAAUAUGGAAACCAUUUCCUGCCUUGGUAUUUAGGUCUCUAUUUAGAGUGGGAGCACAUGUAGCAUUGUACAGGAAAUUAUGGGGGAUGAUGACAAACUUUGAUGCCUUAACAGUAUUGGAAAGAGCCUUCAGGGCACUUCUGAAGCCCUUUACUAAGGUCAUCCUCUGUCCAAAGGAAAAAGUGUGUAUAUUGCUGACCUACUAAAGAUUUGGAGAAUCGCUCCAUUGUUCCCGCUGUAUCUGGGGCUGGAUAAGUGGGGAGAUGAUCCAAAGGUAUGACUGGAUUUCAGCAGUGGUCAAGUGCUUAUUGCCUGCAUGCCGGGGUUCUGAGCUG
rnacentral:lncRNA from 1 species